rnacentral:rRNA from 1 species
AUUGAACGCUGGCGGCAUGCCUUACACAUGCAAGUCGAACGGCAGCGGGGGAGAAGCUUGCUUUUCCUGCCGGCGAGUGGCGAACGGGUGAGUAAUACAUCGGAACGUGCCCUGUAGUGGGGGAUAACUAGUCGAAAGAUUAGCUAAUACCGCAUACGACCUGAGGGUGAAAGUGGGGGACCGCAAGGCCUCAUGCUAUAGGAGCGGCCGAUGUCUGAUUAGCUAGUUGGUGGGGUAAAGGCCUACCAAGGCGACGAUCAGUAGCUGGUUUGAGAGGACGAGCAGCCACACUGGGAGUGAGACGCGGCCCAGAAUCCUACGGGAGGGAGCAGUGGGGAAUUUUGGACAAUGGGCGAAAGCCUGAUCCAGCAAUGCCGCGUGUGUGAAGAAGGCCUUCGGGUUGUAAAGCACCUUUGUCCGGAAAGAAAUGGCUCUGGUUAAUACCUGGGGUCGAUGACGGUACCGGAAGAAUAAGGACCGGCUAACUACGUGCCAGCCGCCGCCGUAA